GCUGCUGGCGAACAGCUGUCUUUCUACUCGGCUUUGGCCGCGACUCUUCAAGACUUGAAGUUAUCAUUUUCUUUGAGCAAUGAACAAAGAACUGCACUGAAGUCUUUCCUGGAAAAGAAAGAUGUAUUCGGAGUUUUGCCGACCGGAUACGGUAAAAGUUUCGUCGUUGGUCUCCAUUCUCUCUAUCCACCAAUCGCACUAUGAUCAGAGAAUGUCUAAUAUGAGACGGGCUCUGCUAUGAUCGCAACACUUCCCCAUGGAAAUUUCCGUCGCUCUGACUACGUCACCUUCUUCGUUGCUCUGAUUGGUUGUAGCGCUAUCCUAUUGCGUGCAGAGGGAACUUGGAAGACAACCGUUUAUCCCGCCCACACUGCCAGCGUUACGAGACCAGACCCAAUAUCUUUCCGAUAUGGGUCUGGCUUGCCAGGCUAGUAGUAGCCUCCUUCAUGGAUACAAUAAUGUACGUCCACAUCACCAGCCUCCUCACCACAUCUGGGAGAGGCCCUCACUGAGGAGUAGGUCACUGCAUCGCUGGAAUCGUCCUCAACCUAUAGGGUGACAUGGAAUACAGUGAAACAGAAUGUUGUGACACGUUAUAUCAUGACAUGGAAUGUUGUGAUACGAUGCAUUCCAUGGUAUCCCACACCAUGACAUGAUGCUCUGUGCGGUGACGCUGCUGUGACGAGGAGACAGUUUACCUGUGCUGUAGCCACGCUCCUCUGUCCCUCAGGCAGGACAAUAGAGGCGUAUGUUGGACCUCCGCCCUGAUCUCCGUCCACACUGAGAUGCUGUGACACGGUCAGGAGUUGUGGAGUUAGACGCAUUCGAUUCAUGUUCCAUAGUUAUUGUAUUAUGCUCAAUUAAAUUACUUUCACCCCCUUUUAAUUAAUAUAUGCCGUGUCUUUAUGACAUGCCAUAA
ensembl:lncRNA